rnacentral:rRNA from 1 species
UACGGGGGGGGCAAGCGUUGUUCGGAAUUACUGGGCGUAAAGGGCUCGUAGGUGGCCAACUAAGUCAGACGUGAAAUCCCUCGGCUUAACCGGGGAACUGCGUCUGAUACUGGAUGGCUUGAGAUUGGGAGAGGGAUGCGGAAUUCCAGGUGUAGCGGUGAAAUGCGUAGAUAUCUGGAGGAACACCGGUGGCGAAGGCGGCAUCCUGGACCAACACUGACACUGAGGAGCGAAAGCAUGGGGAGCGAACAGG